rnacentral:rRNA from 1 species
UACGGAGGGGGCUAGCGUUGUUCGGAAUUACUGGGCGUAAAGCGCACGUAGGCGGCUUUGUAAGUUAGAGGUGAAAGCCCGGGGCUCAACUCCGGAAUUGCCUUUAAGACUGCAUCGCUAGAAUUGUGGAGAGGUAAGUGGAAUUCCGAGUGUAGAGGUGAAAUUCGUAGAUAUCUGGAAGAACACCAAUGGCGAAGGCAAUGUUCUGGCUCGUUUCUGACGCUCAGGUGCGAAAGCCAGGGGAGCGAACGGG